rnacentral:rRNA from 1 species
UACGUAGGGGGCAAGCGUUGUCCGGAAUCCUUGGGCGUAAAGCGCGUGUAGGCUGCCCGGUAAGUCCGUUCUGAAAGCCCGGGGCUCAACCCCGGGAGGCGGAUGGAUACUGCUUGGCUCGAGUCCGGAAGAGGCGAGUGGAAUUCCCGGUGUAGCGGUGAAAUGCGCAGAUAUCGGGAGGAACACCAAUGGCGAAGGCAGCUCGCUGGGACGGUACUGACGCUGAGACGCGAAAGCGUGGGGAGCAAACAGG